rnacentral:rRNA from 1 species
AGAGUUUGAUCAUGGCUCAGGAUGAACGCUGGCGGCGUGCUUAACACAUGCAAGUCGAACGAAGCACUGGGGAACGGAGAUUUCGGUUGAAGUUUUCCUUUGACUGAGUGGCGGACGGGUGUGUAACGCGUGGGUAACCUGCCCUGUACAGGGGGAUAACAGUUAGAAAUGACUGCUAAUACCGCAUAAGCGCACAGCUUCGCAUGGAGCGGUGUGAAAAACUGAGGUGGUACAGGAUGGGCCCGCGUUGGAUUAGCUAGUUGGCGGAGUAACGGCCCACCAAGGCGACGAUCCAUAGCCGCGG